UUUAGUCGGUCUCGGAGCAAACGAAGUGAAGCAUGUUAUUUAAUACGAAAGUACGCGUAAAAUCUUACCAGUUCUUGCAUAUCCAAUCUCUCAUUUAUUUUCAAUUUAUUGACUAUAGCUUAGCUUUAUUUACUUAUAUUAAGUUAAAUUAAAAAAAAGAAAAUUAGCAAAAGCUACGAGGAUAAGUUAAAAUAAAUGACUGGAUUGUGUAAUUUCUAAUAAUUAAAAAGUAAUAUAUAAAUAUUAUUACUUUUUAAUUAUUAGAAAUUCGUUUACAGGUGUUGCAUGGCUGUCGUCAA
rnacentral:rRNA from 1 species